AUUCCGCCCCCUCGAAUCGGUGCUUUCAGCGCAUCCGCGCGGUGAAAGGUAAACGGGAAACAGGAAAGGAUCCAGGCGGCGGCCCGCGUAGCGGCUGCCGGCUCCUCGGCCUGUGCUGCCCCCGCAACGGUCCUCAUGCUGCCGGCCAUCCGGCCGGACAGCAUGACAGCCCGAUACCGGCCGGUUCGCCCGGGGAAGA
rnacentral:ncRNA from 2 species